rnacentral:rRNA from 1 species
GCUUAACACAUGCAAGUCGAGGGGCAGCGGGAUUGAAGCUUGCUUCAAUUGCCGGCGACCGGCGCACGGGUGAGUAACGCGUAUCCAACCUUCCGUACACUCAGGGCUAGCCUUUCGAAAGAAAGAUUAAUACCUGAUGGUAUGAUGAGAUUGCAUGAUAGCAUCAUUAAAGAUUUAUCGGUGUACGAUGGGGAUGCGUUCCAUUAGAUAGUAGGCGGGGUAACGGCCCACCUAGCCAACGAUGGAUAGGGGUUCUGAGAGGAAGGUCCCCCACAUUGGAACUGAGACACGGUCCAAACUCCUACGGGAGGCAGCAGUGAGGAAUAUUGGUCAAUGGACGAGAGUCUGAACCAGCCAAGUAGCGUGAAGGAUGAAGGUCCUACGGAUUGUAAACUUCUUUUAUAAGGGAAUAAACCCUCCCACGUGUGGGAGCUUGUAUGUACCUUAUGAAUAAGCAUCGGCUAACUCCGUGCCAGCAGCCGCGGUAAUACGGAGGAUGCGAGCGUUAUCCGGAUUUAUUGGGUUUAAAGGGAGCGCAGACGGGUCGUUAAGUCAGCUGUGAAAGUUUGGGGCUCAACCUUAAAAUUGCAGUUGAUACUGGCGUCCUUGAGUGCGGUUGAGGUGUGCGGAAUUCGUGGUGUAGCGGUGAAAUGCUUAGAUAUCACGAAGAACUCCGAUUGCGAAGGCAGCACACUAAUCCGUAACUGACGUUCAUGCUCGAAAGUGUGGGUAUCAAACAGGAUUAGAUACCCUGGUAGUCCACACGGUAAACGAUGGAUACUCGCUGUUGGCGAUAUACUGUCAGCGGCUUAGCGAAAGCGUUAAGUAUCCCACCUGGGG